rnacentral:rRNA from 1 species
ACACAUGCAAGUCGAGCGGUAACAGGCGUAGCAAUACGUGCUGACGAGCGGCGAACGGGUGCGUAAUACAUGGGAAUCUGCCUUUUAGUGGGGAAUAACCCGGCGAAAGCCGGGCUAAUGCCGCAUAAGAUCUUCGGAUGAAAGCGGGGGAUCGUAAGACCUCGCGCUGAAAGAUGAGCCCAUGCCGGAUUAGCUAGUUGGUGAGGUAAUGGCUCACCAAGGCGACGAUCCGUAGCUGGUCUGAGAGGACGGCCAGCCACACUGGGACUGAGACACGGCCCAGACUCCUACGGGAGGCAGCAGUGGGGAAUAUUGGACAAUGGGCGAAAGCCUGAUCCAGCGACGCCGCGUGUGUGAAGAAGGCCUGCGGGUUGUAAAGCACUUUCGAUGGGAACGAAAUGUGCCGGGCUAAUACCCCGGCAAGCUGACGUUACUCAAUGAAGAAG